AUUGAACGCUGGCGGCAUGCCUUACACAUGCAAGUCGAACGGCAGCACGGGGGCAACCCUGGUGGCGAGUGGCGAACGGGUGAGUAAUGCAUCGGAACGUACCCGGAAGUGGGGGAUAACGUAGCGAAAGUUACGCUAAUACCGCAUAUUCUGUGAGCUGGAAAGUGGGGGACCGCAAGGCCUCACGCUUUCGGAGCGGCCGAUGUCGGAUUAGCUAGUUGGCGGGGUAAAGGCCCACCAAGGCGACGAUCCGUAGCGGGUCUGAGAGGAUGAUCCGCCACACUGGGACUGAGACACGGCCCAGACUCCUACGGGAGGCAGCAGUGGGGAAUUUUGGACAAUGGGCGCAAGCCUGAUCCAGCCAUGCCGCGUGAGUGAAGAAGGCCUUCGGGUUGUAAAGCUCUUUCGGCGGGGAAGAAAUUGCACUCGUUAAUACCGGGUGUAGAUGACGGUACCCGCAUAAGAAGCACCGGCUAACUACGUGCCAGCCGCCGCAGUAAGAC
rnacentral:rRNA from 1 species